AUGAGUGUGCCCACUCAACUCCUGGGGUUGCUGCUGCUGUGGCUUACAGACGCAGGAUGUGACAUCCAGAUGACUCAGUCUCCAGCCUCCCUGGCUGCAUCUGUGGGAGAAACUGUCACCAUCACAUGUCGAGCAAGUGAGAACAUUUACUACAGUUUAGCAUGGUAUCAGCAGAAGCAAGGGAAAUCUCCUCAGCUCCUGAUCUAUAAUGCAAACAGCUUGGAAGAUGGUGUCCCAUCGAGGUUCAGUGGCAGUGGAUCUGGGACACAGUAUUCUAUGAAGAUCAACAGCAUGCAGCCUGAAGAUACCGCAACUUAUUUCUGUAAACAGGCUUAUGACGUUCCUCC